GGAGAAGUGUCCGAGUGGCCGAAGGAGCACGCCUGGAAAGUGUGUAUACGUUGAUUCGUAUCGAGGGUUCGAAUCCCUCCUUCUCCGCCA
rnacentral:tRNA from 1 species